UACGUAGGGUGCAAGCGUUAAUCGGAAUUACUGGGCGUAAAGCGUGCGCAGGCGGUUGUGCAAGUCCGGUGUGAAAUCCCCGGGCUCAACCUGGGAAUGGCAUUGGAGACUGCACGGCUAGAGUGUGUCAGAGGGGGGUAGAAUUCCCCGUGUAGCAGUGAAAUGCGUAGAGAUGUGGAGGAAUACCGAUGGCGAAGGCAGCCCCCUGGGAUAACACUGACGCUCAUGCACGAAAGCGUGGGGGGCAAACAGG
rnacentral:rRNA from 1 species